UGCCUUACACAUGCAAGUCGAACGGUAGAGGGGCAACCCUUGAGAGUGGCGAACGGGUGAGUAGAGUAUCGGAACAUGCCCGGUCGUGGGGGAUAACGUAGCGAAAGUUACGCUAAUACCGCAUACGAUCUAAGGAUGAAAGCGGGGGACCGAAAGGCCUCGUGCGAUCGGAGUGGCCGAUAUCAGAUUAGGUAGUUGGUGGGGUAAAGGCCUACCAAGCCGACGAUCUGUAGCUGGUCUGAGAGGACGACCAGCCACACUGGGACUGAGACACGGCCCAGACUCCUACGGGAGGCAGCAGUGGGGAAUUUUGGACAAUGGGCGAAAGCCUGAUCCAGCAAUGCCGCGUGCAGGAUGAAGGCCUUCGGGUUGUAAACUGC
rnacentral:rRNA from 1 species